rnacentral:rRNA from 1 species
GACGUAGGGCGCGAGCGUUGUCCGGAUUUAUUGGGCGUAAAGAGCUCGUAGGCGGCUUGUCGCGUCGACCGUGAAAACUUGGGGCUCAACCCCAAGCCUGCGGUCGAUACGGGCAGGCUAGAGUUCGGUAGGGGAGACUGGAAUUCCUGGUGUAGCGGUGAAAUGCGCAGAUAUCAGGAGGAACACCGGUGGCGAAGGCGGAUCUCUGGGCCUUACCUGACGCUCAGGUGCGAAAGCUAGGGGAGCGAACAGG